AGCGAACGCUGGCGGCAGGCCUAACACAUGCAAGUCGAACGAACCCUUCGGGGUUAGUGGCGGACGGGUGAGUAACACGUGGGAACGUGCCCUUAGGUUCGGAAUAACUCAGGGAAACUUGUGCUAAUACCGAAUGUGCCCUUCGGGGGAAAGAUUUAUCGCCUUUAGAGCGGCCCGCGUCUGAUUAGCUAGUUGGUGAGGUAAUGGCUCACCAAGGCUACGAUCAGUAGCUGGUCUGAGAGGAUGACCAGCCACAUUGGGACUGAGACACGGCCCAAACUCCUACGGGAGGCAGCAGUGGGGAAUCUUGCGCAAUGGGCGAAAGCCUGACGCAGCCAUGCCGCGUGGAUGAUGAAGGUCUUAGGAUUGUAAAAUCCUUUCACCGGUGAAGAUAAUGACUGUAGUCGGAGAAGAAGCCCCGGCUAACUUCGUGCCAGCAGCCGCCGUAACAC
rnacentral:rRNA from 1 species